rnacentral:rRNA from 1 species
CGAGUGAGUAACACGUGAGCAACCUGGCUCUAAGAGGGGGACAACAGUUGGAAACGACUGCUAAUACCGCAUAACGUAUCGGGAUGGCAUCUUCCUGAUACCAAAGAUUUUAUCGCUUAGAGAUGGGCUCGCGUCUGAUUAGAUAGUUGGCGGGGUAACGGCCCACCAAGUCGACGAUCAGUAGCCGGACUGAGAGGUUGAACGGCCACAUUGGGACUGAGACACGGCCCAGACUCCUACGGGAGGCAGCAUG